GAGCAGAGGAAGAGAGGAGACGCUGAGGAGGACGCAGGACGAAGAAAGAAGAGAAGAAGAAGAAAAGGACACAGACAGCUCAGACCUGUCUCACCUCUCACACACUGGUUGGAGUACUGACAGUGUUCUCAGCCCAGCAGCUGACACCACUCCGCUGCUAUACAUUACCCAUCAUGCCUCAGUGGGUCCAGGCAGACGUCCUCUUCGCUCCUCGUCCUCCCCCUCGUCCUCCCCUCUGGUCUACAGCGUCCUGGUGGAGGACAGACAGCCGCGUUACAGCCUGAGGAGCCGACGAGCUGAGACCCGCUGAUUCACGCCGCCGUCGCCCUGAUGCAGUCGCAGCCUUCGUGUUUUAAACUCGUCCCUUCGUGUCAAUAAAGCAGUUUUA